rnacentral:rRNA from 1 species
GACGAACGCUGGCGGCGUGCUUAAUACAUGCAGGUCGAACGGAAAGGCCCUGCUUUUGUGGGGUGCUCGUGUGGCGAACAGGUGAGUAUAACGUGAGUAACCUGUCCCUGACUUUGGGAUAACACCAGGAAACUGGGGCUCAUAUCGGAUAUGAGCUCCUGCUGCACGGUGGGGGUUGGUAAGAUUCGGCGGUUUGGGAUGGACUCGUGGCCUUUCAGCUUGUUGGCGGGGUAGUGGCUUACCAAGGCUUCGACGGGAAGCCGGCCUGCGAGGGUGACCGGCCACAUUGGGACUGAGGUACGGCCCAGACGCCUACGGGAGGCAGCAGUGGGGAAUAUUGCACAAUGGGCGGAAGCCUGAUGCAGCGACGCCGCGUGCGGGAUGACGGCCUUCGGGUUGUAAACCGCUUUCGCCUGUGACGAAGCGUGAGUGACGGUAAUGGAUAAGAAAGCACCGGCUAACUACGUG